GCCCUAACCAGAUAAAAGUGGAAAUCUUUUGGAACAGAUAGCUGGAUUAGCU
rnacentral:sRNA from 1 species